UUUGGUUAAGUCAAACAAUCUUUAUUUUUAUACAUAUUUCUCCCACGAGGAAAGUCUCCUUCUAUAACAAUCGAAAUACAGUAUUAGUGAUGUUAGUACGAAAGAGUAAUUGCACAUUAACUAUAAUUAUACACACAUAGGCAGAGGUACAUGAAACUUACAGUUAAUGUGCAAUUACACUUUCACAGCUAUGUCCUCCUCCUCCCCCUCCCCCCCUCUUUCAAUCUUCUCCCACCACUUCCCUAACCAGUGAAAAGUUUCAUGUAAUAGCCAUUCACAUUAAUUUACGUCUAACAUGUCAGUAUGACAUGUUUCCAAUGUAUGUCAUUUGUAGUAUUAUUCNNNNNNNNNNNNNNNNNNNUUUAAUUUACGUCUAACAUGUCAGUAUGACAUGUUUCCAAUGUAUGUCAUUUGUAGUAUUAUUCAGUGAAUUCCUAAAAAUUAAUUUUAUGUUCCUUCCUACAUAUUUAUUUGAAUUUUAUGAAAAUAUUCUUGUACAUCUUUAAGUGACAAAAGUGUUGAUAUGAUGACUUUAAAAUGAAGUCUAUAUUUUAUGCUAACUAGAAACAAAUAAAUAUUUUCAUAACAAUUUUGAUACUGUUUAUGAACACUUUAACAAAUUAAGUUCUUUUUUGUUGCUGAAUUUGUUAAAUU
rnacentral:lncRNA from 1 species